rnacentral:lncRNA from 1 species
GGAAUUUAAUUAAGUCAUUUAAAAGUUAGAGUUAAAUAAUAAUAAUAAAAAAAAAUAUAAUCACACAAUUGAAUAAGUUAAGAGUAAAGGAUAAAUGAAUUUGGGCCCUUCUUGGGCCUGCUGCAACUGAUUUGGGCCUCAGCUUAAUGUCUGCCCUUAGAGACCUUGUGUAUACGUCAAACGUAUAUUUUUUGUAUACAGGUCGUUUCUAAGCCAUUUUUCUUGUAUAUUGAACCGCAUAUCAACUAUAUACAGCCUUCUCUGACGCCUCCGACCUGUAACUUUAUUUUUGGACACAUAUUUUUUGUCCUGAACCGAUAUAUCAGUGUAUAAACGCUGUAUACAGUAUGUAUACAGCCCAUUUCGAGUUUUUGAACUAAUUUUCAGCAACAUGUUGGGUCUUCAGGACCUGUAACAGCUUCCGAAUAUAUAGGGGCUGACUCGAUAAAAGAAAUUUGGGCCUUUAUGGCUCAUCCGAAAUGCAAAGAUUGAGUCCGUGAGGACUUGGGCAGAUUUUAUGCAACAAAAAAUAAAAUAACCAAGAAUUAGAAUAUAGAUAAAAUUCCAACGAACGGCAAUCAAGUAAUCAAUUCAAGAUAGAAGUAAACACAUAAAUCACUUUAGGAGAUACAAACAUAAUUGCAAAAUAAAAGCACUUCUAAACAAAAGACGAAUGACUUAUAUCCAAAUAAAUGAGAUAAUUGCAGUAGUUAAUUAAGAUUAAAACAAGCCAAUUAAUCAAAUGAGCUUCUUAACUAAGUAGGAAGAUAUAACAUCGACUAAGUGAGGCAAAGCAAGAUUAAAGGUGAACUAAAAAAAAAAUAAAAAAAAUAUAAUAAUAAUAAAAUUAUGGCCACAUACAACUAUAUUCUGGCAAGAAAGACUAUGGAGGAAAAUAGUCAUUUAUGUUGUCCCACAACCCAAAUACAUGAAGAAAACAAUAUAUGAGGUUUAAUAUAUAUAUAUAUAUAUAUAUAUACAUAUAUAUAUAUACUACAUGAGAUUGGACUAACAUUGAAUACUUCAUUUUCAAGAAUAGUAGGACAAACAUGAGAGCUUCUUGAGUUAGUCAAUACUUAAGCUAACAGAGAUAAAUUAAAUAGACAAGCAUUGACUACAUAAUUUCAAAUCACCUAGCAAAUUAACUAAAACAAAAAAAUAAAAAUAAAAUAAAAAAUUUGAUUCAAUUUAAAAUGAACUAAAAAGAAAACUAAACAAACUAUAAUAUUAAACGAGCAUAAUAUCAUAAAUGAAUCAAAACAUCAUAUACACAAAGAACAAAACGACAUAAUAUUACCUCUUCCGGAGCAGCGACCGGAGACAACGAGCUUUAGAGGGCAACGAUUCUUCCACCACAAAAGCCAAAUACGAAUAGCAAACCAAGAAAAUCUGAGCGGCGACCUUCUCGGAAACUUAGAACAAGAGAGCUAAAAUAUAAAAUUUUAAGUGUAAAAUCACUAUUGCCAAAGAACUCAAACUAGAAAAGAAAAAAAAAGUUUUUUUUUUUCUUUUUUUUUUAUAAAUUCUUGCCCCCCAAAAAAAUUCCCCCUUUUAGUGAUCAAAAGAGAUGAAUAUAUAGAUGGAAAUUAGGGGGAAAUCGGGUGAAAUUUUGAAUUUCAAAAAUUCAAAUUUCUUGCUCCUUUUCAAGGCCAACAGGGAGCAACUGAGUUUGGCAUGAAAUUUCUCCAAAAUCCCAGAAAAUCCGAGGCAGCAGGGUUGAUGCGUACAGCUGUUGUUGACAUUUUGGACUGCUGCUGCUAUUGUUGAAAUUAGAAGGGAAAGAGGGGGUGGGGCCGGUUGGUGUACG